rnacentral:rRNA from 1 species
GCACGCAGGCGGUUCGCUAAGUUCGAAGUGACAAUCAACGGCUUAACCGGUGAACGAUUUCGAAAACUGGUGGACUGGAGAGCGAGAGAGGGACAUGGAACUCCGGGUGGAGCAGUGAAAUGCGUAGAGAUCCGGAAGAACACCACUGGCGAAGGCAGUGUCCUGGCUCGUAUCUGACGCUGAGGUGCGAAAGCUAGGGGAGCGAACGGGAUUAGAUACCCCGGUAGUCCUAGCCGUAAACGAUGACCACUAGAUGUGGAAGGUAUCGACCCCUUCCGUGUCGUAGUUAACACGUUAAGUGGUCCGCCUGGGGAGUACGGUCGCAAGACUAAAACUCAAAGGAAUUGACGGGGACCCGCACAAGCAGCGGAGCGUGUGGUUUAAUUCGAUGCGACGCGAAGAACCUUACCAGGGUUUGACAUGUAGUCGCACCACCCUGAAAAGGGUGUUCCUUCGGGACGACUACACAGGUGCUGCAUGGCUGUCGUCAGCUCGUGCCGUGAGGUGUUGGGUUAAGUCCCGCAACGAGCGCAACCCUUAUCGUUAGUU